UCCCUGCUGGCUCAGAUGGUAAAGCAUCUGCCUACAACAUAGGAGGCCCCAGGUUCAAUCCCUGGGCUGGGAA